UAGCUCUGGUUUCUCUUAAGUCACGCAUGAAUAUUUUGCCUUUUAUUAAAGAUUUCCGUGGGGAGGAUCAUCAAUGAGCUUCAUGUAUUUUUAUGAGCUUUGCUCUGGCAAAGCU